AUUGAACGCUGGCGGCAGGCCUAACACAUGCAAGUCGAGCGGAUGAAGGGAGCUUGCUCCUGGAUUCAGCGGCGGACGGGUGAGUAAUGCCUAGGAAUCUGCCUGGUAGUGGGGGAUAACGUCCGGAAACGGGCGCUAAUACCGCAUACGUCCUGAGGGAGAAAGUGGGGGAUCUUCGGACCUCACGCUAUCAGAUGAGCCUAGGUCGGAUUAGCUAGUUGGUGGGGUAAAGGCCUACCAAGGCGACGAUCCGUAACUGGUCUGAGAGGAUGAUCAGUCACACUGGAACUGAGACACGGUCCAGACUCCUACGGGAGGCAGCAGUGGGGAAUAUUGGACAAGGGGCGAAAGCCGGAUCCAGCCAUGCCGCGUGUGUGAAGAAGGUCUUCGGAUUGGAAAGCACUUUAAGUUGGGAGGAAGGGCAGUAAGUUAAUACCUUGCUGUUGUGACGGGACCAACAGAAUAAGCACCGGCUAACUUCG
rnacentral:rRNA from 1 species